rnacentral:rRNA from 1 species
GCGGUGGAGCAUGUGGUUUAAUUCGAAGCAACGCGAAGAACCUUACCAGGUCUUGACAUCCCCUGACAACCCGAGAGAUCGGGCGUUCCCCCUUCGGGGGACAGGGUGACAGGUGGUGCAUGGUUGUCGUCAGCUCGUGUCGUGAGAUGUUGGGUUAAGUCCCGCAACGAGCGCAACCCUCGACCUUAGUUGCCAGCAUUCAGUUGGGCACUCUAAGGUGACUGCCGGCUAAAAGUCGGAGGAAGGUGGGGAUGACGUCAAAUCAUCAUGCCCCUUAUGACCUGGGCUACACACGUGCUACAAUGGGCGGUACAAAGGGUCGCGAACCCGCGAGGGGGAGCCAAUCCCAAAAAGCCGCUCUCAGUUCGGAUUGCAGGCUGCAACUCGCCUGCAUGAAGCCGGAAUCGCUAGUAAUCGCGGAUCAGCAUGCCGCGGUGAAUACGUUCCCGGGCCUU